UACGUAGGUGGCAAGCGUUGUCCGGAAUUAUUGGGCGUAAAGCGCGCGCAGGCGGUCCUUUAAGUCUGAUGUGAAAGCCCACGGCUCAACCGUGGAGGGUCAUUGGAAACUGGGGGACUUGAGUACAGAAGAGAAGAGUGGAAUUCCUGGUGUAGCGGUGAAAUGCGCAGAUAUCAGGAGGAACACCAGCGGCGAAGGCGGCGCUCUGGGCCGGAACUGACGCUGAGGAGCGAAAGCGUGGGUAGCAAACAGG
rnacentral:rRNA from 1 species